rnacentral:rRNA from 1 species
UAGUCCCUGCCCUAAACGGUGUGCACUUGACGUGGGGGUUUCACCGCCUCCGUGUCGACGCCAACGCUUUAAGUGCACCGCCUGGGAGUACGGCCGCAAGGCUAAAACUCAAAGAAAUUGACGGGGGCCCGCACAAGCGGGGGAGCAUGUGGCUUAAUUCGAUGCAACGCGAAGAACCUUACCUGGAUUUGACAUCUAUCUGCACGGCCCAUGAAAGUGGGCUUCCUUCGAGGGCGAUAGAC